GAUGAACGCUAGCUACAGGCUUAACACAUGCAAGUCGAGGGGAAACGACAUCGAAAGCUUGCUUUUGAUGGGCGUCGACCGGCGCACGGGUGAGUAACGCGUAUCCAACCUGCCCAUCACUUGGGAAUAACCUUGCGAAAGUAAGACUAAUACCCAAUGAUAUCCCACGAAGGCAUCGGAAUGGGAUUAAAGAUUUAUCGGUGAUGGAUGGGGAUGCGUCUGAUUAGCUUGUUGGCGGGGUAACGGCCCACCAAGGCAACGAUCAGUAGGGGUUCUGAGAGGAAGGCCCCCCACAUGGGAACUGAGACACGGUCCAAACUCCUACGGGAGGCAGCAGUGAGGAAUAGUGGUCAAUGGGCGAGAGCCUGAACCAGCCAAGUAGCGUGCAGGAAGACGGCCCUAUGGGUUGUAAACUGCUUUUAUAAGGGAAUAAAGUGGGUCACGUGUGACUUUUUGCAUGUACCUUAUGAAUAAGGACCGGCUAAUUCCGUG
rnacentral:rRNA from 1 species